rnacentral:lncRNA from 1 species
GAGUAUUUUUAGAAAAAUUAAGAUAAUAAAUCUCUACUUUUUUGCGAUUUUUAUGUUCUAUGUUUAGUAGUUCUAAUAAAGUGAAUAGUUCUUGAUUUCAAGCAUGCUAUGUGAUUUAUAGGCACUUAAUGAUUUUUAUGUAAAUAAAAUAAUAAGAAUCCGGUGAUGUUAUCUGGAAAAUAGAAAAAAUAAAAAAGAGAAAUGGAAUGAAGCCUGAAUGGUUCAAAAUAUGUAUCUGUAUUGACAUACAUAAUACAUCAAGUGUCUCAUUAGGCUUUUUAUCUAUGAGAGGUAUCUAUUUUAUCCUCCCCCAUCUAGUCUAAAAAGACGUGAAAGAACCACUCUUUGUGGAUGACAGCAUACCCUCUGACGAGAGCGGUGACGUGAAUAUCUAUUAGGGGUUACCUAUGGCUAAGUAUUGUCAUGAAUAUAGAAUAUCUGAUAGGACCACUAUGGUCGGUACAACCGCAAUCAUAGCCGUACCAUGGUUUGGCAAGCCGAAAAUGUGCCCGAGUAAUUUAUCAUUAUCUGUAUCUGAUAUGCUCAUUGCACAUGGGUAGUC